rnacentral:rRNA from 1 species
AACAAACGCUGGCGGCGUGCAUAACACAUGCAAGUCUAACGGGAAAGCGGGCUUCGGCCCGCAAGUACCGUGGCGAACGGGUGAGUAACACGUGGGUAAUCUAACCUCGAGUUUGGGAUAACCUUGCGAAAGCGGGGCUAAUACCGAAUAAGACCACGCCCAGUUCGCUGGGUGCGGUAAAAGGCGGCCUCUUCUUGAAAGCUGUCACUUGAGGAUGAGCCCGCGGCCUAUUAGCUAGUUGGUGGGGUAAUGGCCUACCAAGGCGACGAUGGGUAGCCGGCCUGAGAGGGUGUACGGCCACACUGGCACUGAGAUACGGGCCAGACUCCUACGGGAGGCAGCAGUGGGGAAUUUUGCGCAAUGGGGGAAACCCUGACGCAGCAACGCCGCGUGAGUGAUGAAGGCCUUCGGGUCGUAAAGCUCUUUUAGUGGGGAAGAAUCCCUUUUUGGCUAAUAUCCAAGGAGGAUGACGGUACCCACAGAAAAAGUUCCGGCUAACUACGUGCCAGCCGCCGCGGUAAGAC